AAUAUUGUACAAUGGUGGUAACCCUGAUCUAGCCAUGUCGCUCGUGUGAAGAAGGUCUUCGGAGUGUAAAGCACUUCUAGUUGGGAGGAAGGGCUUUAGGUUAAUACCCUGCUGUCUUGACGUUACCAACAGAUUAAGCACCUCCUAACUAUGUUCCAGCAGCCGCGGUAAUAUAGAGGGUUCAAGCGUUAAUCGGAAUUACUGGGCGUAAAGCGCGCGUAGGUGGUUCAGUAAGAUGGGUGUGAAAUCCCCGGGCUUAAUCUGGGAACUGCUUUCAUAACUGCUGAGCUAGAGUACGGUAGAGGGUAGUGGAAUUUCCUGUGUAGCGGUGAAAUGAGUAGAUAUAGGAGGGAACACCAGUGGCGAAGGCGACUACAUGGGCUGAUACUGACACUGAGGUGCGAAAGCGUGAGGAGCAAACA
rnacentral:rRNA from 1 species